UACGUAGGCAGCAAGCGUUGUUCGGAGUUACUGGGCGUAAAGGGUGCGUAGGUGGCUCUAUAAGUAUGGUGUGAAAUCUCCCGGCUUAACUGGGAGGGUGCGCCGUAGACUGUGGGGCUAGAGUGUGGGAGAGGAAAGUGGAAUUCCUGGUGUAGCGGUGAAAUUCGUAGAUAUCGGGAGGAACACCGGUGGCGAAGGCGGCGAUCUGGGUCGAUACUGACGCUGAGGUGCGAAAGCGUGGGGAGCAAACAGG
rnacentral:rRNA from 1 species